GGAAAAAGAGAAGUAGAGAGAGGAAAGCUGAGUGAUAAAUUCUGCCUAGCUUGGGCAGGGGCAAGUAUGUAUGAGGCAAGUUCAGAAAACCACUGGUGCUGUUUCAGAAGGGUGCAGCCUUUCUGUCC